UUGCAGAAAUUGAGACGAUAACAACAUUUCAUAUGUAAACAGAAGCCCUAUCCGGUAUGAUUUUUGCGUCGGACGCAAAGUGAUCCGAUACAAUGUAAACAUAGCCUAAGAUUCUUUAAUUCGUUUAGAUUUUCGAUAGGUGGUCCUCGCUCAGUUUCUAGUAUAUUACAAUCAAACCCCUUCAUGUUGAAACCAUCAAUACAAGCCCUUCUCACAACAUCAAUAGUUGGUGGUGCACACAUGUCUUCCAAAAACAUUUUAAAGGGUAAAAACAUUAAAAAACAUUGUACUCUUUUUAAAGGCCCCAUUCUGGCAUACUUUUGGGAAGAUCCUUUAACUUGAGCUGACAAUCGCUGAAUUGUUAAUUUUUCAGGUCUUUACCCUUUCCAAGUUUGUUUCGUUCUGUUUUUCUUGUCCUCUUUGCCGCCAUAAUCUUCUGGUUCUUCUUGAACUCAUCUACGUCCGCCAUGCUUUCAGUUUGA